UUGGGUUUUCAGGGGGCUGCUUUUCAUUUGUAUUGAUGUAAAUGAGAGAAAAACACAGAUCUCGUAGUUGUCAUGGGCGCCUGUAGAUUCUGUCCUUUUUGUUUUUAUUCUUUAGGCAUGCUGCAGAAGAUUUUGCAGUCAAACGUGGAGCAGCUAAAGACACGUGCCACUGGGCAGAUUCCCCUGGGGUCUCUGGGAAAGGAAUCAAGCACUGUCAGACUGUCACCGCCUCAGGAGAGAUGUUGCUGUUGACUUUCAUGGCAGGGCUGCAUGGUCCUCCAAAUGCCUGUGUCUCUCAGAGACUAGAACCUUUGUACCGAUUUCCAGAAAUGCCGUAUUGUUUCCCCUUCCUUCCCACCAAGAACCCAGGCUAGGCAUCCACAUCCUCUUAAUUACAGCAAUCUUGACUUGCAUCAGCAGGAACUGGAGUGACACAUGCCUCACUUCAAAGCUCUCUCCCUGCCUAUGAGGUAGCUGCUGAUAGCAGAAGAUACUGGCAUCUGCAGAUCACAAAUCAAGUGAAAGUCUAGUGAGCUGCCCAGAAGACACUGCUCCGGGUUGAGUCAUCACCCUUUUCCACCUGUUCUCAACUGGAUGGAUGAGAAAGGAUAACUCAUGUUCAAACACCCAGGUCAGCUGCGCCCGCCCAUACAAAAUAAACAUUUGAUGUCAGUGAAGAAAAUUAAUGGGCAGCAAUUUCUGCCACUUCCUUUCCCUUCACGCAUUUCUCUGGAGUUUUAUCAAAAGUAAAGAGAGUGAAUAAUGAGAUCGUGGUUGGCAUGCGGACUCUGCUGGAGGACACGAUGCCCAAGCGUGCCCCGCCAAGGCCAGGCAGGACUGGCGUCACUUGGCCUCUACAAUCCCUGCCUGAGCCCCUGAUUGUCACCACAAGGCCGGGGAAGGAACAGGCUGCUUGCUGGCCACCCCAUGCGGAGUGAGAGCAGGGUGGCUUUCACUCUGAUACGCGGGGCCAGAGGAGAAGGAAAUAUAAUCCACAUCCUCUGCCAGUCUGGGGGCUCCCAGCAUCGUUGAGAGCUGAAAAUAUGUAACUUCACAUCCUGGGCACAUCUUUAUGGUUUGAUCACCUCAUGCUGAUGGAUCACAGUCAGUGAGGGGCACAGCAGGUCCCAGGAGCUGCCAAGUGAAAGCUGAGGAGAGCUGAACUUGUACAGAAAUGAGAGCACAUUCAUUUUGCCAGCAAAAAUUUGUUGGGAUUCACCACAGAAUGGGAAAUUCACCACAGUUGGGAUUCACCACAAAUGUCUGCGUGGCAGGGUCUGACCUGCUGUCUCAGGAUACCACGCCCUUGCCAGGGUGGUCUGACAGCCCCAGGGAGCAGCUAGCCAGAUGAUGCACUGCUCCGGAGCAGGAAGCGCAGCCACUACGUUCACCCCUGGCAUGGUUUCUCGAGAAGACAAGCCUGGGAGAAGGCAGGCAGACCGUUGGAGAGAAAUCUCCCCUCCAACGUGGCUGAGGUGCCAUAAUCGCACCCUGCGAGGCUCACCAGCCUUUGGGGAAGCUCCCUGUGCCCCGCAACAAGCAGGAUGGACAGUGGCUUGCAGCCACAGCAGGGUGUCCUGCUGGAAAACCCCAGGUGCCGCCGGGAGCGGUGGCUCAGUAGGUGGCACUCUGCAUCCACGGGGAACCAGCACCUUCCCAAAAGCGAGCCCUGCCCCUCACUGGCCCAGCACCCUGCCCUGCCAGCCCCACUGCAGUGGGGCAGCCCACAGGGGUGAGUCCUGCAGCCCCCUCAAAGCUUCAUCUCCUUCCAUCACUGCUGGGGAUGUCCUCCAGCAGCUCAGCCUGGGGACAAAGUCCAAGCGUCCUUCCAGCCUGGGAACAACGCCAUGGUCAAGCUGAGCACCUCCUGCCCGAUAGCAUGCAGCUGACGGGGGCACGGAGUUGGGAAGAGCAGAUCCAGGCCCUCCCUGCUCAGGAAGUGUCUGAUUUCCCUUCGCCUGUGGCAGGAAGCAGAAGAGGCAGGAGGAAGUCAGCAAAAUGCCGAACAAAUUUGUAGCGUGCCAAGCCAAAUUCCUUGCCGCUGCCAGCUGGUGAAGCGGAGCCAUUGGUUGGAGAUUUCAGGAGCGAGGUCAGAG